AACCUGAACGCGCGGCCAGAGCUCCCAGUUGGGUCCACCUCCGAAUAAAGAAGCUUCUUCCCAGGCCAGUGGCACAAGCUUAAGUUUGUCUUCUGAAUUUGUCUUCUAAGUCCUUCCAAAAGUUGCCGACCACACAGCAGCCAAAUAUCCGUUAGGAGGUGUCAUUCUCUUCCUUACAACUCCAGUGGCUUAUCAUCACUCUUAGAAUGAGAGGGAAGCAUUCUGGCGGGAGGCCCACCGCAGCUCCUUGAAGAAGACAGCCAGGCGAGGGCCAAGACUGGGUGCCAGGGGCCUUGGAACUGCCAAAAUGCCUCCCAUUUUAUGGACAGGCCUGGCUCACCCUGAAGACAUUCCAAGUAUUUAAUCAGCAGUCCAUGGUACAUAUUGGGUUGCAGAGGGAGCCCUCAGAAGCUGGACUUUUAGGAGACAAAACUCAGCCAGAGGAAGGAGCUGGCCUUCUACAUGGACCAGGCUGAUGCUCAACAGAUGGAAAAAGUGCAUCCCAAUAACAAGGAUCAAUAACCGAAGGCUGACAGCUGCAGAGACCUGGCCUGAGAGGCCCCUAAGGACUCAGUUCUGCCUCUUUCCCACACCAGACUGAGUCCAGCCAGGAAUCCAUCUCACCCACCUCCCUGCACCAAGCUCCGGGAGAGCGAACAAGCGAGGGAGGAACCAUUUUUCACAUACUUUCUCUUUCAAAAUGUAGCCCUGUUUCGCAAUUUCCUACUUAAGUUCUGGAAGGCUCUAGGGCAGAACCCAAGACACCUUCUCUAGCCACUGGCCUGGGUCUCUCGUCACCAAGAACCUGGUAGGCUAGCGGUGACGGAGAAAGGAAGGGGCCCAGAUUUACGAACUCUCCCACUGUCCCCAUCCAUGCCAGCUCACCCAAGGGUCUAUUUAGUGCAGGUCACUCUCUCUCUGUCUUUUUGUAGAGACAGGGUCUCAGUAUGUUGCCCAGACUGGUCUUGAACUCCUGGCCUCAAGCUGUCCUCCUGCCUCAGCCUCCCAAAGUGCUGGGAUUAGAGGCAUGAGCCGCCACGCCCGGCCUCACAUUCUUGAUGCUAAAGGAGCUUCAACCAAGCCUCCAGCCAAAACCUGUUUAUUGUUCCCCGUGUGUUGGCUUUCUCUUGGGAGAGCCAGAAGGUGCGCCACACCAAAGCAGGUGCACCCAACCCUGGUAUGCUCACGUCUCAGCAACCCCUGAGGACCUAAUCUUCAGAUCUUCUCUACUCCCCUAUAACUAGGCUUUUGUUCUGGCUCACUUUUACUGGCAGUACUAGACAGUAUUCCAGACCUUUUGCAAUGAAUCCAUUUAGUCCUUAAAAA
rnacentral:lncRNA from 1 species